rnacentral:lncRNA from 1 species
UUUCAAUAGAUUUUGAGAAACCAUGAGCCUUUCUCAGCUUUCUCGACUGGAACUUGUGCUGUCUGGGAAUUUGAGGUUAGGUAGUUUGAGCUAGACGCUUGGAGAGGAGAAUCAUUUGCGACUGGAUAUUAAGGGGAUAAUAUUUUUUAUAAGGAGAAUUUAGGAAUAUUGAUAUUUUGUGGACUUAAGAUCUUAUUAAAUAAUAUCGUGUAUGCUAUUUCUUCCAAUGACUUUUUGCAACAAAGAAGCUUCACGAUUGCUUCUAGAGAAAUAUUGCCAAGAAUAAAUUUUUCUUACGUUUGAAAAAUAUGUUCACGGUAAAUUGUGUAUUGGUAUGCAAAUGUACAAUUCUUUGGAAUGACAACAGUAACUUGAGCUUGCUAGUUGGCCUCAUACUUUGGCCAGCAUAGUGUAUAUAUAACUGAACCCGCAAGUGAACUGUUCUAACAAUAGCGUUCACAUUCUCAUACUCUUACUAUACCUCUACGUAGAUAAGAAAACCGAUGAUUUCAUUGAAAAACGAAAAAUGCUCUUAUACUCAAUACGCAAAGUUCAUUGAAUCUGUAGGAAAAUCUCAAUAGAAACCUCAUUAAAUCUUCAUAAUUGUACACGUACAUAUCAAAAUUUAACUCCAAUUUAGAUCGUUUUUGCCACUGUCCUAAAAUUAUUAUUCCAUUACCAUCGUGUUUUACUUCUCGUGAUUUAUUAUUUAUAUUCUAUUACUGCGACAUUAUAACCAGCCCAAAUAAUUGUUAUUGCUAUUGACCAGUUAAUUUACAUAAUUUAGCAACAUUCGUUGACGUGUCAGUCUCGUUAAUGGGCAAACCAGUGAUUUUUAAUCGACAUUGCUCGUUACGGAUCUUCUAUUCGUUUUUUGUCCAGCUAAUUGCUCGCUCGGUGGGUCGAGCAACUCAAAAAGAUUUGCGCCAUCGAUAAUGCGUUAUGCGCGACGAAUAAAAAUUAUCUCACGAAUAAUGCAAAAGAUUCUGCCACAUAUAACGGUCAUCAGCAACCAAAGUAAAAAACCUCUCGUCGAUAAUGCUGAUCGGUAACCGAAGAUAUUCGGAUCAUUCGUAAAGUUUAUUCGUAACACGUUGUGGUCACUGUUGUGCAACUUGGAAAAGGUCAAGAACCACCGCGCCGAAGAAUCAUGGAAUAUCCUGACGGGACCACAACGGAGCCGCGCGAGUAGCGAAAGGUGCGAAUCGCUAAUCGCGUAACAGAGUACAGCAGCAAAUUGGAAAGCAGCCAAACAUUAUGAAACACAGGGCUGAACGUCGGCGUAGAAAAUAUUCGAAGGAAGAAAUUGAACGAUACGUUUGACGCGCCACUUCUAUUCUCGGUGUGGAAAAGGUCUAAAAAUACAAAGCCGUGCUGACUAACCAAGAGAAUUAAGGCAUCGCUCGUGCGGAAAUAGCUGCGCUGGAGACCCGCCAAAUAUCGUAAAUGCCGCGCCAACGUGAGCGAACCGCCAACCAGGGAAUUUGUAAAUAAUCGCCGCUUGAAUCUCUCGCAUACUCGCAGACAGUUGCUCUUUGAUGGUUCGACCAAGUUCCCGUUCCUCGAUCGCUCGCUUGAUUCACGAUCCCACCGGUUGGCUGGUUCAUUCAUGGAUCGACCAGCGACAAAUGGAGAUCACGAGCACCGUUCCGAGGAAAAGAAACAACGCGAUCGGCUGCCUCGUGCCAGCUAGAAGCAACUGCAACGUUGCUACGAAGGAGAUGCUCCACCUUCCCCCUUUUUACCGUCGGCUCUUCAUUUUGCGGUUGCGAUGACGAGCUUCCCCCGUGUUCCUCUCGGAGGCUCGCGGAGUCCCACCCUUCGACAGGAGGAAAUCAAACGACGAUGCGAUGGAAUUUAUAUAUUCGUGGAUUUGCUGUAAUGCAGGGAUUGACAAGAGGAUCGUUUCGCUACGUGACAUGGAACUGUGCAAGGUAAUACAGUUUGCUGGCAGGCCAGGAGUAAGAUCGUUCUCUUGUUUUCAUUAAGAAUAUUCAGUUUUAUGGAAGUUUGUUUGGAGAAGUUAUAAGAAUAAGUGGUGCUGAUGAUGGAGCAUGUAUGCAUAUUUUAUCAUCCUCCAGUCACUUUACAAUGCACACAGAAUAAGAACAGACUUAUAUCUGAAUUUCAAGACGGAAUUAUAUCACUGACUAAUCGUUUACAUUAUAUAACAGAUAUAUAUUAUAUGUUACGUAACAAAUAUAUGUUAAAAUCUUACGU